UCUUCCCCAGAGGGUGGUUGGCACUGACCAGGCUCCCCAGGGCAGUGGGCACAGCCCCAAGGCUGCCAGAGCUCCAGGAGCGUUUGGAUGAUCCUCUGGGGCACAGGGGGUGACUCUUGGGGAUGGGCCUGUGCAAGGCUGAGGGUUGGACUCACUGAUCCUUGUGGGUCCCUUCCAGCUCAGCACCUUCCGUGGUUCUGUGCUAAGACACCCACCCACACCCACACCCACACUGUCUCCAGGGCACUGAGGAGCAAAAAUUCCCUCCCAGCUCAUGACCCAACCACCACCUCCCUGGCAGGCAGGGGCUGAAGGAGGGGGAUUAUUCACUGCUCAGCUCCCAACACCAGAGCCAGCACUUUAGAGUGCUUUCAUCCCUGAAAGCUUCGGCGGGGAAGAAAGGAGAGUGGACUGAUCCCCAACAGCACCGUAAGUGCUUUCCUUUUUUAACAAAGCAGCAGCCAGGAGGGAGCAGGGGGGCCAGGGCUGAGCAGCCCCUGCUCCAGCACAAGGCACGACCCCUCCUGCCGUGGGUUAUUGGGAUUUGCCCAACCUCAAAAAUAAAUCUUCCCCAGUUUCCUUUUAUAGGGCCUUUCAAGCUCUAUCCCCCAGGUCCUCGUGGAGGGUAAUGAACACGCAAGGCAUGGCUUGGAGCUGCUUGAAUUAUUCAUUGGGAAUAAUAUUUGUUGCCCUUUUCUUCUCCUGGUGAAUCAAUGGAGAAUUUAUGGGCGAGGGUCCCCGUUAUUGGGGGGCUGUUGGCUGUGUGGGCAGCAGCAUUUGGAAGAAAUGGGGUGUUCACCAUCCUCUGCCUCUGGGCACACAGAUCCUCACCCCAGGCACGGCUGCAGGGGCUUCAGUGGUUGUUGGCCAAAGCCAAGGCUGGGGGAGGCACAGAAGCAGAAGGGGAGGGUGGCCCAUGUGGGAGGGAUGGCUUCAGAUCCCCCCAGCAACACCUGAGCAGCCCUGGGAGCACCCUGUGCACAGGGACACCGUGGACACGUGGUGUCCAUGAGAUCACCUGACCCAGCCCAGACAUGUCCCAUCCCAUCCUCGCUGCCUUAUUUAGGAAGUUGGGGUUCCCAGCCUGAAGGGGCUUAAUAGACACAUUUAAAGCAGAGUGAUGCUCCCAGAAAGGCUCUGUACACAAGUGCACUGCUGAGCAGGAGUCCAAGGAAACCUCUAGAAGACCUGAACUGUCUUCCCACCCCUACUGCUGGCUCCGAGUUCUCAGCUUGUGCAUCCUUCAGCCUGGAGCAGGGCAAGGGCAAAUCUCAUUUCUGCCUCCAUGUGGGUAGUUAGUGCUGUGAUGAGCCCUGUCUCCCAUUCCAUCCCAUCCCCUCCCAUCCCACCCCACCCCAUCCCAUCCCACCCCACCCCAUCCCAUCCCAUCCCAUCCCAUCCCAUCCCACCCCACCCCACCCCAUCCCACCCCAGCUGAGGAGCUGGAGACGUGUUUCUGAGAGCUCCUUUUUGAGGGAAUUGCAGUUGUAACCCAGCUGCCCACUGAGCUGAGGAUUUUGCAGGGGUUCAUCCCACCUUUGUGCUCUUUUCCCCCUGACAAGGAUGAGGAUCCCACCAGCAGCUCCCUGGACCAACACCAGAGCAGCAGGGGACGGGGCAGGAUCUGACAGCGGGCUCAGCCUCCUGCAGGCUGCACUGAAGACCAGGGCUUUCAGACCAGCUUUUCCUUCAGCAACACCUCCUGACAGGAGGUUGCACUCGGCUCUCUGACACAAAGCCUGGUUCCAUUCCCAGCAAACCAAACCUGAACGCAGCCUCUUCCCUCCUGCCCUGCCUCGGGAGCGACUGGGAACGACUUUCCCGGGAAGAGCAGAGGUUUUCCCCCAGAAUGAAGAAGCCUUUCCACGCACCAACGGCCCCCUCCUGCAGGGAACUCCGGCUUUGGAGGCAGCUUUUUGGAGCAAGGAGGGGAGGAGGGGCUGGAUGGCCCA